rnacentral:rRNA from 1 species
UACGGAGGGGGCGAGCGUUAUUCGGAAUUAUUGGGCGUAAAGCGCGCGCAGGUGGCUUUUGUAAGUCUGUCGUUUAAGUUCGGGGCUCAACCCCGUAUCGCGAUGGAAACUGCAAGGCUUGAGUGCAGAGGAGGAAAGUGGAAUUCCACGUGUAGCGGUGAAAUGCGUAGAGAUGUGGAGGAACACCAGUGGCGAAGGCGGUUGCCUGGAGCUUUGCUGACGCUGAGGCGCGAAAGCGUGGGGAGCGAUCCGG